rnacentral:rRNA from 1 species
AUUGAACGCUGGCGGCAGGCUUAACACAUGCAAGUCGAGCGAGCGGCGGACGGGUGAGUAAUGUCUGGGAAACUGCCCGAUGGAUGGGGAUAACUACUGGAAACGGUAGCUAAUACCGCAUACCAUCGGAUGUGCCCUGAUGGGAUGAGCUAGUAGGUGGGGUAACGGCUCACCUAGGCGACGAUCCCUAGCGGGUCUGAGAGGAGGACAAGCCACACUUGAACGGAGCCACGGUCCAGACUCCUACGGGAGGCAGCGGAGGGGAAAAUUGCACAAUGGGAGCAGGCCGGAUGCAGACAUGCCGCGUGUAUGAAGGAGGCCUUCGGGUUGUAAAGUAAUUUCAGCGGGGAGGCGUUACCCGCAGAAGAAGCACCGGCUAACUCCGUGCCAGCAGCCGCGGUAAUAC